rnacentral:rRNA from 1 species
UGGGGAAUUUUGGACAAUGGGGGCAACCCUGAUCCAGCCAUGCCGCGUGUGUGAAGAAGGCCUUCGGGUUGUAAAGCACUUUCGGACGGAACGAAAUCGCGCGGGCGAAUACCCCGCGUGGAUGACGGUACCGUAAGAAGAAGCACCGGCUAACUACGUGCCAGCAGCCGCGGUAAUACGUAGGGUGCGAGCGUUAAUCGGAAUUACUGGGCGUAAAGGGCGCGUAGGCGGUCGAGUAAGUCGGAUGUGAAAUCCCCGGGCUUAACCUGGGAAUUGCAUUCGAUACUGCUUGGCUAGAGUGUGGAAGAGGGAAGCGGAAUUUCCGGUGUAGCGGUGAAAUGCGUAGAUAUCGGAAGGAACACCAGUGGCGAAGGCGGCUUCCUGGUCCAACACUGACGCUGAGGCGCGAAAGCGUGGGGAGCAAACAGGAUUAGAUACCCCGGUAGUCCCUGAGCGGGCUGGCAAGGCGCAU